GAGCCGGUGAGGGACACAGGACUCUGUGGAACAUUAGGAGGGACGAGACGAAGUUGUUCCCCACCUUCCGUGAUGCCGACUCUCGUCCUCACUUGUGGAAACGACCACGCACGAGGACGUGACCCGGGAGGCACGCUCCCACACACUGAGGACGCGGAGCCUCGGACACCAGGAAAGGAGCCCAGCUCCAGCACCAGCAGGGCUAAGAGUGGUCAAUCCUAUACAUCCUCGCUCAGAGUCUGGCCAAGGCAGCCACGGCCACACUGCCACAGAACAAGUCCUAGGAGCAGACACCGACUCGUGCGACUCGGGGUCUGCGCUUGCACACAGCAAGGCUGCAUCACAGCGGCAGAAGCUCGGUGCUCAGUCUUCACCCAGGAGUUUAGUUUAAGAAAGGUAGGGCAAGGGUACCGAGUUGGCAAAGGGAUGGACGGAAUGUGCUGGAAUGUCUGUCAUCCCACAGCACCGUCCCUUCCCUUCAGGGUCUCCUCGGCACUGCUCUCAGACAGCAAAGCAGCCAGAAGCACACGUACUGCAUGUCCUUCCUUGGAGGGCUGUGGGUUAGACCCUGCUGGCUGGUCUGGAAGGCAGGGAGGAGUCCGUGGUCCACCGUGCGUGGCCUAGCGCGCACGCAGACCUGGGGUCCGGGACAGCCUCGCGGGGGCCCCGACAGCUGCCGGCUCUGCAGCUGCCACGGAGACAGACGGCGGGUCUCCCAGAUGAUCAGACGACUGCGGCAGCACAGGGAGCCCUGGAGAAGCGGCACAGACGUGGCUCUCUGAGCUGCACUGGGGCGGCUGCACCCUGUCCCUCCCCACUCCUGCCCCGGGGUCCCCUCACCCAGACACACGCCCGUGGGACCCGGAUCGUCCAACCUCACUCCCGGGUCCAGGGACGAGGCCGGACUGGCCCAGGCUCACUCUCUGUGCCCCAGUGGUUGCUCGGACUGGACCCCUGCAGCCUGGCCAGUGGUACAGGAGGCAGGAUCCUGGCCACGGUGGCAGUUCUCAAGGGUCCUCUGGGUGACAUGUGGGUGAAAAGCUCCCCCGCCCCUGGACACGGUGUCAUGCUGGGGGCACCACACGGCUGUGGCCACUUGGUUCCAGGAGGGGACCCAGCCUGGGGUUCACACCGAUCAGGAACAGCAAGUCCGAGAGCCGCAGAGAAAGGGCACUUGGUCCCUGGCCAAAGAGACCUGGGAAGCCACCCUACCUUUGGAUUUUUAAAUUUCCACGCAGGUAAAUAAAGCCUGUGUGGACUGGGUUUCUGGAUGG
rnacentral:lncRNA from 1 species